rnacentral:rRNA from 1 species
UACGGGGGGAGCAAGCGUUGUUCGGAUUUACUGGGCGUAAAGGGCGCGUAGGCGGCGCAACAAGUCACUUGUGAAAUCUCCGGGCUUAACUCGGAAAGGUCAAGUGAUACUGUUGUGCUAGAGUGCGGAAGGGGCAACUGGAAUUCUCGGUGUAGCGGUGAAAUGCGUAGAUAUCGAGAGGAACACCUGCGGCGAAGGCGGGUUGCUGGGCCGAACACGUGACGCUGGAUGCGCGAAAGCCAGGGAGCGAAGCGGGAUUAG